rfam:Arabis alpina cultivar Pajares chromosome 6, whole genome shotgun sequence.
UGUUCGAUGCCACGUCGAAGAUAGCCUAGCUAUGAUCUUUGAUGCUACAUUGGACAUAAACAAAUGUUUGUGUUUCGCUUUUCUGAUAGGAACCUGUAGAUCUUGAAUUUUGUGAUCUUACAGAGCCAAUUUGGUGAUUACAGUU